rnacentral:rRNA from 1 species
UUUGUAGAGGAUGCUUCGGGCAAGGCCGCGGUCUAAUUUGCUUGGAACAGCGAGUCACAGAGGGUGAGAGUCCCGUCUCGGACCGUGCGCCGCGUCCAUGUGAAGCUCCUUCGACGAGUCGAGUUGUUUGGGAAUGCAGCUCUAAAUGGGUGGUAAAUUUCAUCUAAAGCUAAAUAUUGGCCAGAGACCGAUAGCGCACAAGUAGAGUGAUCGAAAGAUGAAAAGCACUUUGAAAAGAGAGUUAAACAGUAUGUGAAAUUGUUGAAAGGGAAGCGCUUGCAACCAGACUUGCGUGUGACGGUUCCCCCCGCCUUCUGGUGGGGCCACUCCGUCAUCUCCAGGCCAGCAUCGGUUUGGGUGGUCGGUCAAAGACCCCGGGAAUGUAUCUACCUCCGGGUCGACUUAUAGCCCAGGGUGCAAUGCGGCCCACCCGGACCGAGGAACGCGCUUCGGCCCGGAUGCUGGCGUAAUGGUUGUAAGCGGCCCGUCUUGAAACACGGACCAAGGAGUCUAACAUCUAUGCGAGUGUUUGGGUGUCAAACCCUUACGCGGAAUGAAAGUGAACGGAGGUAAGAACCCCGCAAGGGGCGCAUUAUCGACCGAUCCUGAUGUCUUCGGAUGGAUUUGAGUAAGAGCAUAGCUGUUGGGACCCG